CUCCUUUUGAAAGGUGACCAAAUGACCAACAAUGCAUUUCGGUCUUGGAAUAAGCUAUCUUCAGCUGCAUGCACGUGUAGGAUGUGUCAAAUCAUUCUUCCAUAACGUCUAGCUGGAUAUCAAAAACUAAUUUGAAAAUGAAUUGAACAAACCCAAUCAUAGUUCCGUGGUCUUGCCCCACCCGACACGUCUGAACUAACAGGAAGUGACGUUGCGUCAGCUGUUCCACGUGGACGGGCGCGCUCUUCAAUGUUGUUAUCGUCGAUUUCAGAAGUGUAUUGAACUUGCUUAUCAAAAACUCAUCGAUUUGACCAGCGAUAAUCUAACAGCAGUGCUUUUCCCUUUGGAAAUGAUCAGAUGUUAAGGUGUGUUUAUGGUAUCGAACUGUCAGCACUGUUCAAGUGGUUUGUAGUUCAUUUUAGUUGUAGAAAACCCGCUGUUAUCUCCCAAGGAACGUCGUUUCGUGCCGUGCGGUAAAAAGCAAAUUCUCGAUGAUGCAACGUUGAUGUCGGUGGGCAACCGAGACGUUCUAUGGUAACCAUCAUAUAUCAUUGGCAGUGAAAGGUAAGUUUAAACAGAUUGUUAUCUUAGUGUAUUUCUUAUUAAGGCACACCAAAUUCUCACGUUUUCAAACAACUUUGCUUUAGCUAAUUGGUUGCAUUUUUGAUUUAAUUGAAAGAAGAGUCUUUAGAGUCACUUAAGAAAGCCCUCUUGAAAAAAGUUCAGAAACUAGAUUAAUAUAAAGGCGAAUUAUCGAGGACAUCAAAGGAUUCCACUUUAUUUGAACUUCUAAAAAANUUCCAUUUAAUUUUGUUUGCAUUUUAAUUUAGUUUUAAACCGCNAUUUUGAAUCAUGCAAGAGAAAAUUCGUUUUUUGGAUCGAACAGGCGGCCAUUUUGAAUUUACACUGUACAGUAAUUGUUUUUGUAAGAAAUUAUGGGAUGCCUAGAGGCCCUUGAANGAAAACUGAAUAGACUGUCUGACAGCUUUCUGUUGAGAAUGUUACCCAAUUCAAUUCUCUCAAACGUAAAACCAAAGCUGAUAGCCGAACAUAUUUAGCUGAUAAAUUUUGAAGAAAGAAAUGUCACUUGUUAUAAUCAAACAGUUCAACAUAAUGUUCAAUUUGUUUGUUCCUUGGACAUCGCCGCCGUAAUUUCGGCUUUGUUCUCAAUAUGGCGUACCGUAUUGAUGAUUUGAGAUCAGAAAAUGCUUGUUUGGUCGGUUUUUGAUGAUUAUUCUUGCGGCACCUAAUUGUAUUUAGCUAUUACUAAUAGCUAUUACAUAGUAUGUGCGUGUUACGUUUAAAAAUAAAGUAGAAUUGAAAACGUCUUCUUACACUUGCCGAGAUCUUCAUCACUAAAAAUCGAUUCAGUAAUUAUUUUAUUAUCCUUCACACUGCCGAUAAGCGAAUCUAUGUGAGUGGAAUUGAAAUGAGACUUGCACAUUUGUGCGGGGUUAAAUUAAGAUGUGAGAAAAUCACUUAGGUGUGCAAACUACAGAUUAGUGAAUAUUAGGAAUAGUUUAUUGGUUAGCCCCAGUAAUCUAGACUGCUUACUUUAUGAAAUAAUGUGUAUGAUAUUGACCAAUCAGAGCAAAGGUAGCGAGUACAGAAAACCUUCCAAUUUUGAACUACAAGGAAGGUUAACUGGAUGUAUUUAUUAAUCUCGUAUAAAGAUGAAGAAAUAUUAAAAAAACAAUAAGAAAUAGUUAAUUUUACUUCUAUUUUCAAGGUUUCACGUUAGUGUUAAUUCUGCAGGUUUAGUUUUCAUAUGCUUUUUUAUAGUAAAUUUUAUGCCUAUUUUGUUGUUAUGAAUUAUAAAUAAGAAGCUCUUUACUUGAUAAUGCUUCCAUUUUAAGCCAUUUUAUAAUUAUCUUCCUUCGCCUUUCGAAGCUGGAGCGUCUGGAACAAUAGAGUCCCAUAUAGCGCGCGGUCUGCGACUUGUAGGUACUUUUAAUAAUUCAAGAAACAUGUCUAAUAUUUUAAUUUGUUUUUAUCUUGUUGAUCAGUUAACACGUUGACUUNAUUCAGCGUGUCACCUCUGCACAAAUGUAUAAUGUUUAAGAUAAGUCCCAAACAGUAUUUAUCAAAAUGACAUUUCCUUUUAACAAGAGGAUUUUAGCGUGGACAAGUGAUAAUUGUCUCGAACAAUCGUUACAGUAAACAAUCUGUUCACAAACAGACUCUCAUGCGCAGGUGCUCGUCCACCAACUUUCAGUAUUACUGUUGAUUUAGUAAAUACUAACCCAUUUGGAACAACCAAGAAAUCAAAAUGAGAUUGAUGAUAGGGCGAUUGGUAAUAUAAACACUUGAUUUUAAGGAAGGACGAAAUGCUAAUAUUUGGAAAUUGGUGAUCAUUUUAUAAUCAAGUUGACAAGGGGAAGAAGAAUACGUGACAAAAAAAAAUGACUCUGAAAUUUAGGAAAAAGUCAUUAAAAAAUAUGGUGUAAUGGAGUUUAGGAAUUGCAUGGUUUUAGGAUAAUUUUUGAUAAUUUUGGACUAAAUGUUGGCAUUUGAUGCGUCAUAAGAGCCAAAUGUCGCUGUGAAAGGACAAUGAUAAUAUACAAAUGAAGGCAGAAAAAUAAUACAUGAAUAUGUGGGUGGACUUUUGAAUAAAUGAAUGGAUAGAUUAAAAAAUAGAUGGGUAAAAGAAUGGAUGAUUGAAUAAAAAAAACAGGAUAAAAAAAGAAAAAAAAACAGGAUGGAGGAAGGAAAGUAGAAACAAUUGCGUGUAAUCUGAAUGAAUGAAUGAAUGAAAGGAAAGAAACUAAGAAAGGAAAGAUAUUUAGAUGUAGGUUGUUCUAGAGGAAAUUCAUACAGUUUAGAAUGAAUAUCUAUUCUGAGUAAAUUAANCGAUGAACAAGCCAUCUCAUUAUANUGACGCUGUGAACAUCAGGUAAAUGAAAACUAGUAACGAGUUUUUGUAGAAAACUCUUUGAAAAAGACAUUUUCAAUCAGUAAAUAGGUAAACAAAUGAAUAUGAGAGUAGAACUAAUAAAUUAAUGCCAAAAUAAGUCCAUUAAUGAGGAAGUGUAAAUAAGCCAAACUUUGAAACAUCAAAUUUGGUGGCCAUGUUCAUGUUUUCAAAUCGUAGGAUUCUACGCAAUAAAAGUGGAAAGCCAAAAUGAGAACAAAACAUCUACAUAUAAUAUAAGUAAUGUAUAUACAUGAAACUAUGAAUUAUUUAUGCCAGAGUAAUUGAUGUAAUUAACCGUAAAUGGCGGUACAGAACAAACAUCCAGAUUGCUAUUUUCAAGCUUAAUGCUUUUCUAAUUUUUCAACUGAUUUUGAGCAUCAAAAUUCAAUAAAAACUUAGCAUUCAAUCUCUGAUUUACAUUUCCUUCAUUAACCAUCGGCUGAACAAACCCAACGGUGUGUAAAAACCUGUGCCUUAAUACGCGGUCGCAAAACUGACACGCAAGAUGACAGAUGUUGGUAAAUUUAGACGUAUGCUGGGUACAGCAUGUAAACGUAGAAGCAUAGAGAUGGCUAUAAUAACGUCUACCACAAACCCCAUGAAGGUUUUUAGCUAAUGUAAUGUGUUAUAGUAAUGAAUUUUUGAUAUUCAAGGAAACAUUAUGAAUAAACUAUGAUUUUUAAUUGGAGUUUUUUUUUCUACUUAUGGACAUAUAUACUCGCUUCAUUUUCAGUGACAUUAAAAAAUUUCUUUAAAUAUGUUUGAAAUAAUGUCGUCAAUUUUGGCAUGCAUGGAUUUCAAGUUGUUUCAUGUAUAAUUUUUUCUUCUGUUAUCAAUGCUAAAANUUUUUUUCUUUUUUCUUUGCGAAACAAUAGUUCAUUUUGAACUGAACAUUAGGCAGAAUACGGUCUUAUCUUUUUAUUGUACUGUUUGUCCUGUAUUGCCCACAGAGAACACAACGGGUUUAAGAGAGUAAAUGAAUUGCAAGGAUCACGGGGGAGGGUCCCCAGUGGCAGCAUAAUGAGUGUAAUCGGACGAAACACAACGUAUGAGUCAAUAUCUAAAGACUGCUCGAACACUGGGCACACAUGCGGGCACUCCUUGGCAGGCUGUGAGUAAUGCUCUUAGCGGAGUCCUUAGCGAGAUAGACCCAUUAGAACUCAAAGUGCUUCUUUUUGUAAGGUAUGGUUUGUGUGAAUAACACUCUUCUCCAACAAUGUAAAAAUGAAACGGUUUUAAGAAUAUUUUAUGUGUUUUGCACUUGGUUUCGAUCUGGGCUUUUUUGUAUUUUACUGGCUUGGUUGUAAGUAGUUCUUUUAAUUAACUGUGCUGAUUCUAGAUCAGAUACUAUCAAUAUGCCAUGUCUUGUAUUUGAAUAAGUAAAGACAGGAAAAUAGCGAAAAUCGAAUUAUGGAAAUGAAUCAAAAGUGAGGUUUUUUGAAUGGAUUCUAGUUGCCUCACGCAAAAUGGGAAAUUUAAAAAGACUAAAAGUUGAAGUAGUGAACUUUACAGCGAUUUUUACAAAGAAAAUAACACGGUUUCUCUUGUUAUAACAAGGCAUUUUUAGCAUGUCUCUUCCAUUUCAAUUUUUAAAAUACUAGAAGUUUCUCUUGAAUUUUUUAUGCCAUUUAGACUUCAUAAGGAGAGUGACCUAUGUUUUUUUUUCAGAAAGUUUUGUUUUUAAAAGUUUGAUGUAGGUAUCAUGGAGAGAUCCCUUUAAAAUAUCAUAUAUAUAAUUAUAGAACUUUUUAAAAUCCAGCCCAAUAAAAGAGGGAAAGAAAGAGGCAAAAUGUACGCUGUUCAGUUCUGUGCAAAUCUGCUCUGUUCAAAUAAGCUUUACUUUAUUUUACGUGUACCGCUUUCUGCCCAGUGGUUAUCAGUUCAACAUCUGGAAUNUUAAUAAGUAUUCCCGUCUGGUUCUAAAUGGAAUCGAAAGAAAAAAUAAUCAUGGAAUAAUAUAUUCUCUUUGUUUUCUUUCUCGAUUAUUUUAUUCCUAGAAAGAUAACAAGAAAAAAAUAUGGUAUAUAUCUAUCAUAUAUUCCUAUGUGAAUCGUAAAAUAAUGGAAGGAAUUCAAUCAACGUACGACUUGCAAACUCUGUUUCAUGGCAAAUUUACUGAUUUUUUUUUAUUCUUUUUUUGUGUACGAAAAUCCUAUAUUAAAAAUCUUAGUUUUCCUUGUUUUUACU
rnacentral:lncRNA from 1 species